UGGGGAAUAUUGCGCAAUGGGGGCAACCCUGACGCAGCAACGCCGCGUGAUUGAAGAAGGCCUUCGGGUUGUAAAGAUCUUUAAUCAGGGACGAAAUUUGACGGUACCUGAAGAAUAAGCUCCGGCUAACUACGUGCCAGCAGCCGCGGUAAUACGUAGGGAGCAAGCGUUAUCCGGAUUUACUGGGUGUAAAGGGCGCGCAGGCGGGCCGGCAAGUUGGAAGUGAAAUCCCGGGGCUUAACCCCGGAACUGCUUUCAAAACUGCUGGUCUUGAGUGAUGGAGAGGCAGGCGGAAUUCCGUGUGUAGCGGUGAAAUGCGUAGAUAUACGGAGGAACACCAGUGGCGAAGGCGGCCUGCUGGACAUUAACUGACGCUGAGGCGCGAAAGCGUGGGGAGCAAACA
rnacentral:rRNA from 1 species